GCAAAAUUUUUAUGUUAACUAGAUGAAGAAAUUCUUACUAAAGACAUUAGUGGGCAUAUUGUGUUACUAAAUGUCAAAACUAAUAAUAAAUCAAUUUUAGCAUACAAUACAAUGCAGAAUGUCCGAUUUUGUUAUGAUUAUAAUUUAUCAGCUGACAAAAAAUACCUUUUGGUAGCUUACAACUAUACAAAAAUUUUUAAAUAUUCAUAUACAGCGUUCUACGAUGUGAUUAACAUAAAAAAUGGGUAAAUUAUAAAAAUAUAUAUAUAUA